UUAAACGAACAUAAAAUCAACAAUUAUCAAAUAAAAGAAAGCAGAGUAUCUUCUCAAAAAACACACAAAUCUAACUGUACACUCACCAGAAACAUUUAGUAGGAAACCAGAAAACCAAUUCCAGAACUCAGAAAGAGAGACAAAGACAUACAUACAUAAAACAAGUAUCUUCACUCUCUCUUUAAAUUGCCGUUAACAAAAAUACACAUUGCUAACAAAAGCUUUGUUCACAGUCAAGUCUUUGAAUCCCUUCUAAUCUAACUUGAUUUAAAAGCCCUUGAAUUCCUUUUAAUUUACCUCUAAAAAUUCUGUUUAAUAAUCCAGAUUUCAACUUCCUUGUAGGCACAAAUAUAUGGAUAUAUAUUCCAGGCAACCUGUUCCACUGCCUCACCACCCCUCAGACUAAAGAAUUUUCUCCGAACAUCUAAUACAGAUCUCCCCUCUUUUAGUUUAAAACUGUUCCCCUGAGAGGCACUGCUUGUCAUUGGCCUCCACCUUGACACACAGGCUGGAAUGUUCUGGGUGUGGCCAUCCAGUCAAUUCCUUAUCCAACAAACAGUCCACCCUUGAAAUCCAUCUCUCUGCAACUUAGGGAUAAGGAUAACAAAUAUAACAUUAGGCAGUGCAUUGAAGACCAUGUGAAGGUGUUCCUUAUUCAGAACGGUGUGCAGUGCAGGGAGAAAAAACAGUGAAAAGGAAAUACAAAUAAGAUACCUGCACAUUUGUGAAGUACCACAAGGGAACUGUAGGACAUAGCUCGUACACUGAUACGCUACCUGUGGAUGGGAUUUUCAAAAGAGAAGAACACUUCUGAAACAAAACACUUGCUGGAAACUUCAGUUCAUCAUAGUGACAAGCAAGGAAAGAAGUUCUGAAAAGUCAAUUUUGGAAGUCAAUUUUCAAAAGUCUUACCAUCUACAGCAAGAGCUCUGUG